rnacentral:lncRNA from 1 species
CCGGACUCUAAGCCCCGCGCACCCUCUCUCAGCCCGCGUCUGUCUCUCCGGGCCUCUCCCGCCGCCUCUGCCAUCACGGUUGCUCCCUCCUCCGUCCUUGCCCCGGCCUCCGUCCUCACAUCCCGGGCACUCUUCCGUUGUCCCUGUGUGCCCUUCUCCGCCCCUGCCCCUGUCGGGGAUCUCUUCUUCCACCUCCCUAGAUGCCAUUUGGGGUGGAGAGUACGGAGUCCUGGUGAUAGGGGAUCGUGGUCCCACACGCGAGAACAGAGGUGCCCAACAUCUGGAAAUCAGAGUCCCAGCGCUGCUGAACAUCUGGAGCGCUAAUCGCAGGAGCCGAGAGCGGCCCCGGAGGUGGGGUCUGGGAAGGGGAUGAGGGGCGGUAUAGCUCAGCUAACGGGGCACUCGAUGCCCCUGUGCUCGCGCCUCCCCAGUCUGCACCACAGGCUGGGAAUCCGCCUCAGCGGAAUACUGAGAGCCGCCCCGCGCCGCCAGUGCCCCUGCGUGUCCUCCCAUCAGCGGAGCCCUAGGUCCGCUAGGAAAGGUUAAUGGCCCUGCGCCCCACUCCCACCUCCACUGCGGGCCUGGAGCGUGCAGUGAUAACCUCUCUGCUCGGAUGCAGACUCCAGGCAAGACACGAUGAACCUCCCCAGAAAAGGGGUACGCCUCAUUCCCCUGGCUGGGGACGCCGUCCACAUGCCCACCGAGCUAGGCUGCCUGCCCCUGGCGACUACGGAGACCUGGGAGGGCUGGGACGCACAAGGUGGAUCCAAUGGUAGUACUCUUGGCCCUUGGAGAUGGGUGACAAGUAAUUGUGGCGUUGCCAGAUGGGCUCACCUGGGCCGAUGUGUCCCCUCUGUUUUUCACACUGAGCUGCUAUGCCGCCAGGGAGGGGGAUAGGAGAAGGGACCCGGGUCAAAGGGACUCUUAGGAGCUUUUAGGGCUGGAGGCACGCUCCUGGAAUAGGGCCUGUCCUGGCUUUCCGAUAAUCCCUGCAAAUUAACCUGGUCCUGGACCACUGAGGAGCUGAAAUGUGUGCUCAUGUGCUCGGGCACCUGGGGCACAUCCACUGGCUUCCUCAUUUUCCUCUCCCUCCCAGAAUGCGUCCCUGGCAUCAGACUUUGGUGGGGAGGGAAAUCCAGGCUGAGAGAACUAGAGACAAAGGACUGUCAGAAAGACAGACGGUAUCAGAGAAACCAAAAAAGGAACAAAAGCUGCAGAGCAGCAUGGCAGAUGUGAGCACCUGCAUCCGGUGGUGGGGGAAGAAGGCUGCGGAGAUGGUCGCAGAGGGGGCCUGCCUGGGGUCCAGGCCCCAACUGGGAGGAGGAGGUUGGCUCAGGGCAAGCAGAAGAAAAGCUGAAGAAGGAUGCACGAGAGGAGGGUCGGUGUGGCAGAUGUAAUUAAUUACUGCAUAUUAAAAUGUUUGUUUACAGAGAUGAACAGCGGCCAGAGG